rnacentral:rRNA from 1 species
UCGACCUCGAAUCAGGUAAGGAUACCCGCUGAACUUAAGCAUAUCAAUAAGCGGAGGA